CCUACGGGAGGCAGCAGUGAGGAAUAUUGGUCAAUGGACGAGAGUCUGAACCAGCCAAGUAGCGUGAAGGAUGACUGCCCUAUGGGUUGUAAACUUCUUUUAUAAAGGAAUAAAACGAGGCACGUGUGCCUGUUUGCAUGUACUUUAUGAAUAAGGAUCGGCUAACUCCGUGCCAGCAGCCGCGGUAAUACGGAGGAUCCGAGCGUUAUCCGGAUUUAUUGGGUUUAAAGGGAGCGUAGAUGGGUUGUUAAGUCAGUUGUGAAAGUUUGCGGCUCAACCGUAAAAUUGCAAUUGAUACUGGCAGUCUUGAGUGCAGUUGAGGUAGGCGGAAUUCGUGGUGUAGCGGUGAAAUGCUUAGAUAUCACGAAGAACCCCGAUGGCGAAGGCAGCUUACUAAACUGUUACUGACAUUGAUGCUCGAAAGUGUGGGUAUCAAACAGGAUUAGAUACCCGGGUAGUC
rnacentral:rRNA from 1 species